rnacentral:rRNA from 1 species
UACAGAGGGGGCAAGCGUUGUUCGGAAUUACUGGGCGUAAAGGGCGCGUAGGCUGCGGGGCAAGUCGGGUGUGAAAUCUCAGAGCUCAACUCUGAAACUGCACUCGAUACUGCUUUGCUUGAGGACUGGAGAGGAGAUUGGAAUUCACGGUGUAGCAGUGAAAUGCGUAGAUAUCGUGAGGAAGACCAGUGGCGAAGGCGGAUCUCUGGACAGUUCCUGACGCUGAGGCGCGAAGGCCAGGGGAGCAAACGGG